rnacentral:rRNA from 1 species
UACGGAGGAUCCGAGCGUUAUCCGGAUUUAUUGGGUUUAAAGGGUGCGCAGGCGGGAGAUUAAGUCGGCGGUGAAAUUUUGCAGCUCAACUGUAAAAGUGCCUUCGAAACUGGUUUCCUUGAGUGUAGAUGAAGUAGGCGGAAUUUGUGGUGUAGCGGUGAAAUGCUUAGAUAUCACGAGGAACUCCGAUUGCGCAGGCAGCUUACUAAACUACUACUGACGCUCAGGCACGAAGGCGUGGGGAUCAAACAGGAUUAGAUACCCCUGUAGU